UGUAAGAAAUGGGUGUUUUAUUAAAUGAAAUAUAAAACAUAAGCAAAAUUAUUUUUUAAACAGAAUAACAGUGAAGGGAAAAUGUUCAAUGUAAACUAUGAUGUGAAAAAAGGUGUUACAAGCUCUUUAAAUCUUUACCAUAAAACGUACAUAUUUUGUUACGUAAAAAGAGACGGAAAACCUGGUGUAGUGAUGCAAUUUAACAGAUAUACUUUAAAUGAGAUUUUCUCAUUUUAAGCUUAAAAUUUUAAUUUAUUGUCAUUGCCUAUAAUUUUUCUGGUAGUUUUAUUACAGUAAAUGUACAUUUAAUACAUUAAACAGUUUCCAAUUUAAAUUAUUAGAGUCAAAAAGCUACAGAAUUGAGAAAGUGCUUAAAGAAAUAUUUUGAAUGAAAGGUCACUUGACAGGUUUUGUAAGAAAUAAUUAAGAACUAUGGGCAUAAAAUGAAAAGUAAAUUAUAUUUUCUAUGAGAAAAAAACUGAUACAUUAUUUCAAGUGGGAAAAAUUUGGGAUGCUAAAAAUAUUUCAAAGAGUUAAAGCACAUAAAAGCUACCAUUUUGAUGACUGAUGCUUAGAAAAUUAUUUUAGAGGAGCUUUGAAAGGCUUUUUUAAAUAUUAAUGAUCAUCAGUUUGGGCCAAAAAACUUGGAACUUCAAAUAGAUUGCCUCCUUAAUAUAGCACACAUGUAAUUUCUACUUCAGUAAAUAUGAGAAAACAAAUUGCAUCAAAUUAACCACCACUACCAACACCACACGGUCUUCUUUUAGUUCCUUUUCCACUACAGUGGGAAGAAAAUAAACAAAAAUGUACAAUUGGAUUAACUGAACCAAACCAUCAAGGGAAACUAUUAAUUUUCUUGUUUAUGAAGGAUCUUAAUAUAUUUGCAAAAAGCCCUAGGAAGCCCAGAUUUACCUUUGAAAAUUACAACUUUUAAUUUAAGGAAAGGCAGGGAAGCUAAAACUGGUUAACCAAUUUGAUUGAUAUAUAAAACACAAAUAGUCCUAGUCUAUAAAGCUUGGAGCCCUGUAAAGUUUAACUUUAUAACAUGUAAGUUCAUUUCAUAGUAAAUAUCUUCAUCUUGUGGCACUGCCGCUAAGGAUUAUUUUCAUUAUGUUGAGAUUUUGCAACUGUGAUCAUGAAUUGACUCCAUGACCUCAAAACAUUCUGAUAACCAGAGCAUCCCAGCUUGAUUAACCUAGUUUUUAUAGCUAUUAAGGUGAACAACAUCCUUGGUAGUAUAUAGAUUAUCUUACAUUAGGCUUUUUUUCUCUAAAGCCUAUCAGUUGAAAAAUCAAUAUAUUUUCAACUUCCAUAUUACCACCCUUUUUCCUCUUCCAAUGAAAUUAUAAAAUGUGAACAUAAAUGGUUUCUGCACUAGAAUUUUGCAGAAGUGGGAUGUGACAUAAAUUCUAAAUUUAUCAGGUCAACUGUGCUCAUGAUAGUAAUUUUUUAAGUAAAGAAAAUACUCUGCCAUGUUCUUACAAAGGUAUUACUGAAGAAAUAGUCUUGAACUUAGGCGAAAUUGGUAGUGGUCAGUGGUCAAAAUGGAAAUAACCUCCUUUAAAAACACUGGGUGCUAAAGAAAAAAACAAAUACUAGUCCGUGCCUACAAAAGACCUGUACAAACCCUAAAGUGUUCUACAAUUGAAAUGUGUCACUACUAGGAUUCACCAGUCGGUUUGAUGAACUGUUUUUACUUGUUUAUACAUUUAUACUUGUUUAGAGCUAGUAGGAACCUCUGAAAUCAUUUAAUCUACUCCCUAAUGAGCAAACUGAGACUCUGAGAACCCCCAAGGAUUUACGUAAAGUCAUAAGAUAGUGUCAUUCAUGAGCAAAACCCCAGAUCUUGAGGCUGUUAAGAGCUGCUCCUUGUAGAGUUUCACAGCCCUGCAAUGAAGAGAUCUGUGAGUCACUUUACCAAGUAACCCUAAGCUUUGCUUUCUGUUAGAUGACUUACGAUGGGAAUGCCUCUGUAGUCACCCUCCUGCCCAUGACUUAUGUCUGCAAAAUAGAGAUACAUAACUAUGAAAUGAUGAAACCAGACUCCAUCAAUCAGUGCUAUAGACUGAACGCUUAUGUCUCCCCAAAGGUUCGUAUGUUGAACCCUAAUCCUCAAUGUGAUUAGAUUUGGAGGUGAGGCCUUUGUCAGGUGAUUAGAUCAUGAGGGUGGGGAUCUUUUGAAUAGGAUUAGCGCCCUCAUAGAAGAGAUCCCAGAGAGUGCCCUUGCCUGUUCCACCAUGUGAAGAUACAAUGAGAAGAUGGGUGCCUAUGAAAUAGGAAGCAGGCCCGCAUUUGACACAGAACCUACUGGCAUUUUGAUAUUGGACUUCCCAGCCUUCAGAACUGUGAAAAAAUAAAUUUCUAAUACUUGUAAACCAACCAGUUUAUUGCAUCCUGUUAUGGAAGGCCAAAUGGUCUAAGACAAUGGCUUCAAAUUAUUCCUUUCUACUUCUAAUUUCUACUUAGCUGUUAGAGAGCUUUAGGAUUUGGAAACUUCCAGUGCAUAUUUUAGCAGUUCUCUAAUUUCAAGGUAAAAUAAUAACACGAUGUAAUGCAAUUAUCUCAAAUUAUAUAAUCUCUGUGCAAAGAGACCCGGAAUAUAAGAAUGCCUAAGUACACAAACAUAUUCAUGCAUAGCACUGUCAUUUUAGAACCAAGAAAGUGAGUGAAUAUAAAGCUUCCAAACAACAGCUAAUAUAAAAGCUGAAACACAUCCUAGUUACCAUGUGCCAGGCAUUGAUAUAAGCAUUUUACAUAAUAAUUUAAUCCUCAUAACAAUCCUUUGUUGUGAAUGCUAUUAUUAACAUCCCCUCUUUACAGAAGAGAAAACUGAGGCACAGAGAGAUUAAGUCCUGUUACCAAAGUUGCAAAGCUAGAAAUAGGCAAAUCUAGAAUUCAAAUUGAAAGGCCAUCCUCUUAACUAAUAAUUUACAUUACAUUGAUUCUUUGUAAUAAAUAUUUAUAUUAGAAUAUAGGCUAAGAAGGGCCUAAAAAGGGUGCCAGGUGAUUUGUAAGUUAUAAUUCCUUAGUUAUCGUGGGUUUUGGCCUAUGCUGACCAGUUUCACCUGGCACUACCAGCUAAAAUUAAACGGCGUCUUCACCAGUCCUUUCAAAUGGAGCAGAUGGAAUGAUCUCCCAAUGCAAUGGCUUGUCAUUUGUUUCUUACACAGACCCAUGAGCCACCCUUUGUCAAAUGAAUGCCAUCAGCCAGAUGAGAAUGAUGAGAAUGAGGAAGAGGAACUGGAGAAUCUAACUGAGGAACUAGGGGAGUGUGGGAUUUGAGAUGUACUAAUCAGGAAGGAGGUGAGGCCAGGCGUAGUGGCUGAUGCCUAUAAUUCCAGCACUUUGGGAGGCCAAGAUGAGCAGAUUGCUUGAGCCCAGGAGUUCAAGACCAGCCUGAGCAACAUGGUAAAACUCAUCUCUACAAAAAGUACAAAAAAUUACCCCACUGUGGUGGCACAUGCCUGUAGUCCUAGCUACUUGGGGGGCUGAGGUGGAAGGAUAACCUGAGCCUGGGAAUUCAAGGCUACAGUGAGCCGUGAUCAUGCCACUGCACUUCAGCCUGGACAUUGGAGUAAGACCCUGUAUAAAAAAAAAAAAAAAAAAAAAGUGGUAAAAAGGGAAGAAGUUUCAUUCUGCAUUUAUGGCAAAUUUUUCUUCAAGAAUCAAGCAAGCAGGCCGGGCGCGGUGGCUCACGCCUGUAAUCACAGCACUUUGGGAGGCCAAGGUGGGUGGAUCACCUGAGGUCAGGAGUUUGAGACCAUCCUGGCU
rnacentral:lncRNA from 1 species